CCUACGGGAGGCAGCAGUAAGGAAUAUUGGUCAAUGGGCGCAAGCCUGAACCAGCCAUGCCGCGUGCAGGAUGACGGCCCUCUGGGUUGUAAACUGCUUUUAUACGGGAAGAACAGCAUCUACGUGUAGGUGUUUGACGGUACUGUAAGAAUAAGGACCGGCUAACUUCGUGCCAGCAGCCGCGGUAAUACGAAGGGUCCAAGCGUUAUCCGGAUUUAUUGGGUUUAAAGGGUGCGUAGGCGGCUUUUUAAGUCAGUGGUGAAAGCCUGAUGCUCAACAUCAGAACUGCCAUUGAUACUGAAGAGCUUGAGUACAGUUGAGGUUGGCGGAAUGUGUCAUGUAGCGGUGAAAUGCUUAGAUAUGACACAGAACACCGAUUGCGAAGGCAGCUAGCUAAGCUGUUACUGACGCUGAUGCACGAAAGCGUGGGGAGCAAACAGGAUUAGAUACCCUGGUAGUCCACGCCCUAAACGUUGAUAACUCGUUGUUAGCGAUAUACUGUUAGUCGACCGACGACGAACGACGAUUAAGUUAUUACCUACCGUACGGAAGGUACGGUACGCGAGAGUAGUAACGUACGAAAGAAAGUUAGUACGGACGUAGAGACGUUAGCGACGGACGACGACGAGGGGAGGUAGG
rnacentral:rRNA from 1 species